rnacentral:tRNA from 1 species
GCCCGAUAGUUAACCAUAAACACCUAGGUCGUGACCCUAGAAACAGAAACAUCCUCUUCCGAGCUG